GGCCUUAUAGUCUAGAGGUACGAUACUUGCUUUGGGAUCCUGGGACUCGAACCCGUGGCAUAUGCAAGUGGCCUGGGUUCGAUUCCCAGUGAGGCCC
rnacentral:tRNA from 1 species